AACCCCAAGCCCUUCACACACGGUCCUGAAAGUGACCAGGCAGCAUUCCUGCCCUUGGUGACUCUGCUACCCCACCUCACUGCCAAGUCAGCGCCAGCUCUGGGGCAGGUUGUUCUCUGGCCUCCCAGGGAAUUAACUGCAAAGAAUGCAUCUAAAUGCUGAGGAGGCAAGCCGCGGUGGGGCAAUCCGAGGCGAGGCGGCAGGCGGCGGGGCGGCUCCCUCCAGGAAGACUUCCGGAAGGAGUUGUCAUGGUAAUGGGGGUGGGAAGGAAAGGACUGGCCACAGGAACGUUCAGCACAUGGUGUGGGAAAGGGAGGAGUACCACGGUCAGGUAACCAAUGAGAAAAGUGCAGACCAUCCCCUCCCCCAGUCCCAGGUGAGCUGACUGGGCCUUAGUGCCAACUCCUGUUCCUCAGCUGAUGCCCACCCCAGGGCAUGGCUUCUGGCCUGGUGUGACUACAGCCAGUUUGACAGGCGGUCCCCAGAUACUGCCACACCCAAGGACUGCAGGGCAGUUUGCAGCCUCCCCAAUCAGACUUUCCAGCCACUGCAGAACAGGGACUGUACCCCCCCUUUCUUCCUUGCUGAGGCGCCCAAUUCCCCAAACUGCUCUGCCCAGGGUUUCUGCUGAGAUCUUAGGAAGACUGAAGACUAUGCAAAGCUUGCAAGAGCAAGCCCUCUGGCUGCAGCUGGAGAGAUCGGAUCGUUCAGUUCAAUUCUCUGGGCCCAGAGAAAGAAAGCAAGUGACUCACUCAAGGUCACAAAGUCAGGAACUGGCUGAAUUGAACUCAGACCUGGUCUCCAGAGCAAUGGCAAAGGGGGCUCCUGUAAGAAAGUGGGUCUCUUUAACCAGGCACCACAAGCAAGGAUCUGUUUUCCUAGCUGCUCAGACUGUUGGCUGGAGGGAAGACCUUGUUGGGCGCAGAGGCAGAAGGCUUCCAUUCUUGACAGCAGAGACAACUUAGCACUUGUGAGAAGCCCUAGCAGGCUCCUUCCUCUCCCCCAUAUCUCCCUCCUGCAGCUCCCCCCCCCCACAUCCCAACAGCUUUAAGAGCCGUCAGCUGCGGAUCCCCACCAGAAGACAGAUUGGCUGCAUAGGCAGGUGAAGGCGCAUGGUCCCUUGGGAGUCUGGAACCAGAAAGGAUACUGCUGAGUAGUCAAACCCACAUCCAUUGGACAGAUGGGGCCACUGAGCCCAAUAGAAGGAAGAAACAAUGGACUUUACAGGAGGCCUCUGCCACCUCUCCACUCCACAGCUAACAGCUCCCUGUUCUGGGAUGACCAGCUCAGGAGGACUGUGCCGUGCAAUUGGCUCCCACAGACUCACUCCCCUCACAUGACUGGGGGACCGAGGUGGGUACCCAGUCACAUUCCUGCUCAAGUUCGGAUACCUGUCCCUGCAGAGAGGCCUAGUCACUCUGAGUGCCCCCAUUUCCUUCCCAUCCUGCCUGGAAUUCUGGGGGUUUCCUUCCAGAGAAAAACCAGCAUAAGGGUAGCGACACACCUGUAGUCCCAGCUACAGAGGAAGCUGGGGGCAGGAGGAUCAUUUGAGUUUCAUAGGUGCCUGGACAAAACAUAGGAGGACCCUAAUCUCAAAACAAAACAAGCUGAAGCCAUUUACUAAUAAUCCAGGCAACGUCAGGGGAGCAUGGAAUGCCAUAGCCAGCCCCACUGGGACAGCCAGUGAGUCAGCCCUCGAGAAUCCAUCCCCACACCCUCCACCUCAUUCCCCGUUCCUAGGGAGGGAGGGCAAGACUGACCGUCCCCCAACAGCCACCCUCCCUCUCUGUGGAAGGCUGUAGUAAGGGGGUGGGGAAUGAUAAAGCCCAGCUUUACCUGGCUUGUGUGGAAAGACCAUGAUUGACAGGAACACACAGGAACUAGCACUAGCUAACUUUUCUGGGUUUCAUUAUACAGGGACUU